CUGCACACCUCUUUGGUUUGGGCCUGUUUUCUUCCUUCGUUGAUAUAUGUGUAACUGAUACAUGAGAUUGGCCCUUACCGCUGUAUGGACUGAUAUAUAGGGUGCCUUAAAGGCCGCCUUAAAACUAAGUGUUUCCCUGAGCUUUUAAUUGCGGCUUGAAAAAAGUAAAAAGAAAUGAAAAAAAAAAAGAGAGAGAGAAAAAUGGAGGCAGGCUUGAGCUUCGUCUUUCACUCUGGGCCUACCCUGCUCUAGCAGACGGACUACUAUCAGAGACUCGAACUAGGGUCGUUAAACUCUGGAGUCCGAAUGCUGGCCUCUUAACGCUGUACACCACUCAGCAGGGCGAGUAAAUUUCGGAAAAAAAAGGACAUUUAUCUUUUGUUCUUCAAUUUUUUAUUUUUUUUUUGUUAUCGUUUUUCUAAAUCUAUUAAGCUUCUUGUGCAAUAUUGUUCCACACAAAUUACACAUGGACACCUAGCUAUUUUUUUAUUGGCAUUCACAAAAUGGGACUGGAUGUUGGAGGGCUUACCAAAGCCUUCCUGCUACCCGAAUCCCUGCUUGGAAACCUGCUGGCGGCAGCGGCACCAUGUUUUCACCACACUCUUCAGCUUCAGCUGUCUUUUUUUUUGCCUCAUGGCUAUACCCACACUGACCACUCCUUCAAUGAAGAGCUGGGAUGCUCAUCUUCUGAUGGAGCGCUCUCGAGCUGUGAUGGGUCCAGAUAUCAGCGCUCACCUGGCUGGUACCAAGAAGGUUCAGCAAGUGCUCGCCAGACCUGGGCCCGUAUCCCUAAAGAUUCUGAGAAUCCUCUCAGAGAGCUCCUAACUUAACCUAAAAAUUCCUUGCCAGGAGUUUUAGCUUAGAAGUGAUUCCAGAACAUUUUCAGUGAACUCUGAGCAAGGAAUGGAUGGAAAAUCCUAUCUUAGUGAGGAGGUGUGGUUGACCCCGUUGCUAGGUAUGAGUCAUCAUUUCAAAAGCCGUGAUUGGUUGAUCCUACAAGUUUGAUGGAAAUGAGCUUUUGGUGAGAAUGAGCAAAGGAUGUACCCUCAAAUCAAUAAACAUAAUUAUACACUCUAAUCUUAUGCUGACUGUAAUUGUAAAUAUUUCACAUUCAAGAAAAUAUCUGGAAAAUGAAUAGUAAGCUGUAGGGGUUAUAGCCUAACAUUAGAAUCUAAAAUAUGUGAAAACUUAAACUCAUUACACCCUGUUCAAAUAAUGAUUCGUGUCUUAUUUGCUCAUAUCAAUAUCCUAGCUGGCAUAUUUUGUACUUUCACUCCCAUAUGGACCCCAUUGAAAACAAGAUGGCCUAUCUCAAGGGGCUGUCCCUAAUGAAGUAGAAAUCACAACAUUACAAGUCCAGUGUGGUCUUAACGAGGGUAACACGGCUCAGCUUUUGUCAAUGUCUGUGAUUGCUGGCUGGUCUAUUUAUAAAGGCUUGUUAACAAAUAUCCUACAAACACAGAAAAUGGAGAAAAAAAGGACUCGCAAGCCGAACUGGACUGAGGAGCAAGGUUUGUUGCUGGCCCAGUUGGUGAACGAACAUAAAGGUAUCUCUCCUGCCUCUUCUGUUGGCCAUUUUGUGCAGCUGCUUAGGGGAACUCCUAAGCCACUAAAAGUCCUCUUCCCUGCUCUUAGCAGAUCUCGCCUUAGGAGCCCUUUUAAGCGCUAGGAAUCUUGAGGAAUAGCUUUUAUAUUAACUGGGAUUAUCGUGUCACUUUUAGGGGAAAUUCUAAGAAAACGUCAUGACUCUGAGAAUUUUCUUAGAAUUUGGCCGCUAGGAGCCACUUUUUGCACAAAGAUUCUUUAGGGAUACGGGCCCUGGAGUCCUGGAGAGGUUCUUCCCGGACCAGCCUCAAGCUGUGCAGCAGAUCUGAGCGACAUUGGCUGACCUCUACACUCCAGACAUGGGUGCAGAGAGGGACAAAACAGUAUCAAUGGCCUUGGCAGCAGCAGAACGGUUUGUCUUGAAGCCUCAGCGAGAAGGAGGAGGUACAGCGGGGGAACAGACGCAUCUUUAAAAAUGUUGACAAUGCAGCAAAUGCUGAAACUUCUGUUUAUUGUUCACCAUUUGUUAAACUAGGGAAGCUUAAGCAGUGCAUGGAUCUGCACACACAUGCAGGAUUUGCUUGCAUUCCAUGUAUGAGCCAGCCUCAGUCAAAACAGUGACGACACAUACAUGACUGCCUGCUGUUUUGCAUUACUGUGUAUCUACUGUGAUUCAUGCAUGCUGUACUGUGACUGAGAUAAUAGUGUAUAUGAGACACACUUGAUAACAAAAUUGAUUAGGAUGUGAAAAAGCUACCAGAUACAAGUUGUCAGCAAGUUAUGGCUGACUAACCACCCUGCCUUACAUCACUCUGGGCUAAUACUGUAAAAAGCAAUCAUUAGUUUUCUUUGUAAUAUCAGAUCAUUUGUUUUGAUAAAUACAUAGGUCAGUAUCAGGGUUCAUAUGAGCUAUUUUAGCAGUAAUUUUACACCUCCACUAUGAUAGUAUUUAGCUGUUCUUUCUCUUCAAGUAUUCCUUUUCUCCAAGGAAGGAGAAAAGGUAUGUAUCAGGUUGCUGAGAAGAAAGAUGGAGGUGGAAAGGAUGUGCAAGCUAUGGGACAAAGUUGCUGAGACCAGGUUAAACAGAGGUGACGAUCAGUGAGCAGGAGUGUGGCUUCGUGCUGAAAAGAGCACAACAGAUUCUCUGGAGAGAAGGCAGGGUAAAGACAUGGUGAUAAAUGAGUGUGUGGGCCAUCUGCUGAGGACCAAGAACUCAGGACACUCAGACGGGGGCGUCGCAGCAGGAGUCACCGUGCUCCACAAUCCUCUGCUGCUCUGAGAUGUCAGACUCCUGCCUGCACAUACAAACCACAGUGAAGUCAAAGUUCCACCUGCACCUCCACCUGUUCUUGCAACAGUAUGAACACUGACAGAGGGUCGCAGGAGCCUAUCCCAGCUAUCAUAGGGCGAGAGGCGGGGUACACCCUGGACAGGUC